GUAAAUUCCCCCAACGUUUCAGCGAAAAUGCUCCCUUGAUGAAGGCAGUUGUCUUGUUUUUUGCUACACAAAAAAAUUAUUGUGCGUUAAACAACUCCAGAGGACCUAGCCUGUCCUCAGUCCAUUCCUCCCAAUAUCCUACAAACAAAUUGGCUAACAAAACAACAAACGUACUACUCUCUACCUUGCUGCAUCUUCCCA